UUUGGUUUUAGGUCUCUGAUUGCAUGUCUUUCCUUUAACUGAGACUUGUGUCGUUUUCUGCUGUCAAUGAACCUAAUACAGAUCAUAAUCCGAUGUGAUCUUCAUACUCUGAUUGCUUUAUAGAUAUUUCGACAUUUGUGUCAACGCCGGGGAAGUUUCACAAUCGGAUGUGUCUGUGUUGAAAAACAAAUUUGAAAAUGUUAGACACGCGUCAGUUUGCAUAUAAAGGGAGAUCCGCCGACCUGACCCGGGUUGUUCAGAGGAAGCCGAUACCCAACAUUUCUACAAAACUGAUUUCUCUUCACUCAGGCAUGCUGCAUUUGGGCAGAAAAUCGAUCAUAUGUACAGAAGAAGGAAUCUAAAAAAAAAAAACAUGCUAAAUUUCCCUGUUUCAUGGCCCCUGAAAGCCAAUAAGCAAUAUAUAUAUGCAUAGCCAUGGCAUAAGUUCACUUUCAGAAUAGGUGAGGUAAUUAAAGGUAUUUUCUGCUUCCCUAGUAAACAUGUCAUGAUCUCAUGAAUAUCAAAAUAUCUUCCUUAUAAUCAUAUACAUGCCAUAAUGCAUCUACUGUGCUAAAAUAAAAAUGAAAAGACAA